GGGGUGUAAAAUGUCCAAAAUAAAACAAAACAAAACAAAGCUACCAUAGCCAGCCGCACACCACAACUCGAUUCUGAUCUAUACGAUCAAGAAUAACGAAAGUACCAGGGGGAGAAGGCGGAGCAGUGAAUCCCUACCCCGACAUGUGCUGGUUCUAAAAUGUAAACAACAGUGUUAAUUCUCUACCACCUUUUUGUUAUGGCGAGGUAAUUUUUACGCACACUUUUGUUUUCGAUAUUUUAUCAAAAUUAAACACUCAAUCAUGCAGCAAUAUAACGAUGUGGUAUGCUUGAGAUACCUGCUUGAUUAAAAAGACUCGAAAAAGAAUUUAUUUGCAGUAACUAACUGAACAUAAAAAUGUUUGUAUUAACGAUUACGCCCUAACAGUGGCUCUAAGCUUAGAUGCAGAGUACACGAGCUUUGUUCGCCAGUGACAGGCGUAUGGGGCCCUUGGAAAGAACUCGAGAACCAAAACAUCACUCCACGAGAGUACAUUUCGGAGAGAAGGCACCGCCACAGGGGCUUUAUUUACCACUCACAGAUUGCUCUCUCGUCGCCGCGGGCUCAGAGUGGGCAACAACUGGUGUAGAGCGCUAUUGGGCGAAAGCUCUUAGGUCGGACGACACGCCGGGUGCUACGGACUGAGAGCCACAAACCCCAAACACUUCACUUCGAAGCGCAAGCAGAAGUUCCACGAACACGGGCGAGCAGCCGAGUAACCAUUGCCGUAGUGGUCGAAUUGAAAACCGGACCGUCUGUCUCAUCUAGAGGAACGGCGCUAGCUGCACUCGUCGUCGCUUUAGAACUGGGUACCAGCGUCGUGAACCGAAUCACCAUCUGUUCGCCCAUGAGCACGU